rnacentral:rRNA from 1 species
GCAAGUCGAGCGAUGAAGUUUCUUCGGAAAUGGAUUAGCGGCGAACGGGUUAGGAACACGUGAAGAAUCUGCCCUCCACUUUGGGAUAACACCGGGAAACCGGUGCUAAUACCGAAUAUUGAAACAUAAGUGGCAUCACUGAGUUUUUAAAGAAUUUCGGUGGAGGAUGACUUCGCGGCCUAUCAGCUAGUUGGUGAGGUAAUGGCUCACCAAGGCAACGACGGGUAGCCGGCCUGAGAGGGCGACCGGCCACACUGGGACUGAGACACGGCCCAGACUCCUACGGGAGGCAGCAGUGGGGAAUAUUGGGCAAUGGAGGAAACUCUGACCCAGCGACGCCGCGUGCGGGAUGAAGACCUUCGGGUUGUAAACCGCUUUCAGUAGGGAAGAAGCGAAAGUGACGGUACCUACAAAAGAAGCACCGGCUAACUAUGUGCCAGCAGCCGCGGUAAUACAUAGGGUGCAAGCGUUGUCCGGAAUUAUUGGGCGUAAAGAGCUCGUAGGUCGUUUGCCACGUCGGAUGUGAAAACCUGAGGCUCAACCUCAGGCCUGCAUUCGAUACGAGCGAACUAGAGUUUGGUAGGGGAGACUGGAAUUCCUGGUGUAGCGGUGGAAUGCGCAGAUAUCAGGAGGAACACCAACGGCGAAGGCAGGUCUCUGGGCUAAUACUGACACUGAGGAGCGAAAGUCUGGGGAGCGAACAGGAUUAGAUACCCUGGUAGUCCAGACCGUAAACGGUGGGCACUAGUUGUGGGAACCUUCCACGGUUUCUGCGACGCAGCUAACGCAUUAAGUGCCCCGCCUGGGGAGUACGAUCGCAAGAUUAAAACUCAAAGGAAUUGACGGGGCCCCGCACAAGCAGCGGAGCAUGCGGCUCAAUUCGACGCAACGCGAAGAACCUUACCAAGGCUUGACAUAUAGGGAAAAGUGGCAGAGAUGUCAUGUCCGCAAGGGGCCUAUACAGGUGGUGCAUG